CUUUUCACAUCUUCAAAUUUCUUCCAUUUAUAUUUUUCAUUGUCAGUUUCCAGUGCAGCUUAACUCUGAGUGUGCUGAAGCUUGAAAUGUAGCUUCCGAUUUAUAAUAGCGACAGGACAUGCAGCAAAUGUCAACAAAUCCCCUGUCACCCAGGCAAGGAGGAAAUGUGAGAGGUGCUGCUUUGGAUCCAUGUCUGAGAUACGACCUUGAAAGGGCAAGAAAGAGCUUAAUUUUUGUUAAUGAAGCUCUAACUAAAAUGUGUCAUGAACAGCUGAG
rnacentral:lncRNA from 1 species